rnacentral:rRNA from 1 species
UACGUAGGGGGCUAGCGUUUGUCCGGAUUUAUUGGGCGUAAAGAGCGUGUAGGCGGCCAGGUAGGUCCGUUGUGAAAACUCGAGGCUCAACCUCGAGACGUCGGCGGAAACCAUCUGGCUAGAGUCCGGAAGAGGAGAGUGGAAUUCCUGGUGUAGCGGUGAAAUGCGCAGAUAUCAGGAAGAACACCCGUGCGAAGGCGGCUCUCUGGGACGGUACUGACGCUGAGACGCGAAAUCGUAGGGGAGCAAACAGG